CGCUGGCGGCGCGCUUAAGCAUGCAAGUCGAACGGCAAGAGGUAGCAAUACCUCCUAGAGUGGCGGACUGGUGAGUAACACGUGGGUGACAUACCCUUCAGAUGGGGAUAGCUAUUAGAAAUAGUAGAUAAUACCGAAUACGAGCACAGAGGUUAGAGAUCUGUGAGGAAAGGAGCUAAGGGCUCCGCUGAAGGAAUGGCCUGCGGCCCAUUAGCUAGUUGGUGAGGUAAGAGCCCACCAAGGCGAUGAUGGGUAUCCGGCCUUAGAGGGUGAACGGACACAUUGGGACUGAGAUACGGCCCAGACUCCUACGGGAGGCAGCAGCUAAGAAUAUUCCGCAAUGGACGAAAGUCUGACGGAGCGACGCCGCGUGGAUGAAGAAGGCCGGAAGGUUGUAAAAUCCUUUUGAAACUGAAGAAUAAGCGUUGUAGGGAAUGACAGCGUGGUGACAGUAGGUUUUGAAUAAGCAACGGCUAAUUACGUGCCAGCAGCAGC
rnacentral:rRNA from 1 species